UGGAAACUAUUUUUUAUUAAAGUAUAAUUUUAAACAUAUUAACAGCAAAAAUACACUAUUAUUUUAAUAAACAACUGAUAUGAAUGCAAUAUAUCCUAUUUACAUAACACAAAAUUCUGUUUAAACUAGAUUCAAAGCUAACUGGAAUUGAACAGAGUCAACAUACUCUAAACUAUAUACUAAGUAGUAUAUACAAUCAUUGUACAACCAGUGAACAUACAUAAGAAAUGAAGGGAAAUCUAGAACAUAAAAGAGGUCAAAAGAUACAAAAGGGACAUUCAAUAUUAAGUCACAAAAACACUGACAACCAUUUAGUAAAAAAUAAAGACAUACAACACUAUUAAAUGUCAUGCAAUGAUGAAAAAUAAUCAUAUUUUAGCAGAUCUAGAAAAUAUUUGAAGUAAAAGUCACUUUGUAUUGGACUGGUUUAAAGUAAAGCUGGUAUUGUUUUAAAUUGGACAUGUUGAAGAAGUAAAUAUUUGCAAACAAAUAUUGGUUAAAUGAUAAUAUUUCAUACAUUUGUACAUUGUAAACACAAUAACACGCAGCAUUAAUAAAAAAAAAAAACCACAGAUAGGACAAGAUACUCUCUUCAACACAGGAACUAAGUGUUUACACUGAAUAAUAAAGUGUAAAAAGUUAAAAAAAAAAAAGGGAAUAUAAUAGAAAGGAGGACACAACAAAAGAUCAACAGGUCUUUCUGAAAAUAGAUGAGCUAUUUUUCAUUGGAUGCUUAAUGAAUGAUCAUCAACAUCAUUGUACUAAAUUAUAAUUCCUGUACCUUCGAUAACCAAUUAAUCAUACAAAUCAUAAAAGCUGACACUUUACAUAUGUCCAAUUGAAUGGUAGACCACAAAAUAAAAUUCCAUUUUUCAGUAUAUGACAAUAAUUUAAUUUAUCUAAUAUUGUUUUGGUUAAUUGAUAACCCAUCAUGUAUGUUUUUAAGUAAUUUUGGAAGCUUUUAGUAAUUGAUAGUCUGUCUAUAUUGUCUGUUUGUGUGUUCAAAAUAUAUCCAGAAGCCAACUAGACUUUCUCUGGCUUGAUUUGAAUGAAACGUAGACAGAUGGUAAGACAAUGAAGAGGGGAAGGCCAACUGAAAUAAGGUUCAAUUUCUGUUUUCUUUUGGAGGGGUAAGUUUCCUGAUGGAAACUUGAGUUUCCCUUGCUGAGCGUUGUAUCAAAAUCUUUACAGAUGCCAGCUACUGUGAAUAAGAGGACCCCUGUUACCUACAUGUUAAUUUUAUAUUUGUGCAACCAAGCUAAAAAUGAACAGCUGAUAUACUGAUUCAGCAGCAAAGAUAAAUUGGGGUGUAAACAGUCCCUGUUCAUAAUAUCUUAACUAGUUACUCAAACUAAAUAUAAGUACACUUUCCACCAACAGCAAGUAUGUAAGUUCAGUAUAAAGACUAACAGAAUUUCCAAAUAAUCAAUAUUCUAUCUAAAAAUCUAGCAUCACUAUUUUAGGUAUGAUAUGAAAAAUAGUUUUGAAUAUUGUAGUAUUGUUUUGUGAUUGGUUAACAUGUAAAUUGUAACUUCUAAUGAUUGGUUUAACUACUCAAGUGUAAGCACUAUUAAUAUGCCAUAAAAUGAUGUAUUUUCUAUUCCAUUUUAAAUCAGUCUUUGAAAUAAUAUCAGCAAUGAAGACACUUUGUGAGUCAUUCUUUUGUUAUAAUAUGUAGCAAACACUAAAACUGGUUAAUACAUAAUAGUUAUGAUAUAUAUCCUUUACAAAUGAUGUAUAUGGCACAUGUAUGGCUUAAGCAUAUUUUUGCAAUAUUUGCAUAACUUAUUAUAAAUAGAAUUCUGUUUUCCUCCUAUAACAGUAGUAUCUAUACAUGUAUAACAUAAUUUUCAACAAUAGAAAACACAGGCUUUAUAUAAAUGUACCCUUACAUGUACAUGAUAUAUGUACAUUCCUAGUAUAUACUAGUUUUCUUAACCAACUUUUUAAUGACAGGUUUUAGAUAGUGACCAUGUUCACUUGAUAAAAGCUAUCAAAUAAAAUGUCCCCUAUGCUAAAUGAUGACUUUCUAUGAAACUUUAAUUGAAAGUGUUUAGAAAAAGCAAUAUUACAUGAGUUGUACAAGAUUUAGUCAUAAAACACAAAAUGAUAUAUGUCUUUCAAAUACCUGGAAUGGUUUUUUUUCUAAUUUCACUGCAAGAUUAAAAUCCUCAAGUCACACAUUCUGCAAGUUAAACAUGUUAAAAGUGGUACUAUAUUACCCCAAAAAAUGAAAAAAAUCAGUAAAACUGAAAUUGUAAAAAUUUUAUUUUGAUGCUGGAGGGACAAGAAUCUCCAAAAUAUAUUUUUAGCUUUUUUCCACAUGUUCCAUACAAAAUAUUUUCUGACCCAAAACAAAACCUUAGACGGAAAUAUUAAUGUCCUUAUCAAUCAUGUGUCAAUUAAAUGACAAUGUUAAUAACAACGCAAGGGUAUAUCCAUACCAUCAUACAACCAAAACGUCUAGUAGUACUUAAUUUAUAAAUGAGAUAAAAAAAAACACAGCAAUGAUUUUUUUAGGAAUGUUGAAAGCACACAACACAUCAGAUCUUUUCAAUAAAGUUGAGAAUGGAAAUGAGGAAUGUGACAAAGAGACAACAACCUGACCAUAGAACAGACAACAGCAGAAGGUCAUCAAUAGGUCUUCAAUGCAGCGAGAAACUCCCAAAACUCUGAGGCAUCCUUCAGCUGGCUCCUAAACAAAUAUCUAUACUAGUUCAGUGAUAAUACAUCAUACUAAAUUCUGAAUUAUACAAAAGAAAAGCUUAGAAAUGAAAAUAUCUAUAACAUGUAUAAAAAAAAUAUAUAAUAAUAAUAAUAUUCUUGACUCUAUCUUAUUUACACAAGAGGUCCAACAAGAGACCUAACAUCACAUAACAGUUACAGAAACUAAAGGAAAAUAAAAAUGGCCACACACCUUAAACAGAAUUUUUGUUUUAAAAAAUUGAAGAUUAAUGUUAUGCCAUAAUAUGAGAAUUGAUCACUUAGU
rnacentral:lncRNA from 1 species